rnacentral:rRNA from 1 species
GGCCUCAGUACGGCGAGUGAAGCGGCUAAGAGCUCAAAUCUGAAAUCUGGCCCCUCCGGGGUCCGAGUAGUAAUGCAGCAGAGGAUGCUUCGGGUGCGGCCCCUGUCUAAGUGCCCUGGAACGGGCCGUCAGAGAGGGUGAGAAUCCCGUCUUGGGCAGGGUGCCCGUGCCCGUGUGAAGCUCCUUCGACGAGUCGAGUUCGUUCUGGGAAUGCAGCUCAAAAUGGGUGGUAAAUCUCAUCUAAAGCUAAAUACCGGCCGGAGACCGAUAGCGCACAAGUAGAGUGAUCGAAAGAUGAAAAGCACUUUGAAACAGAGAGUCAAACAGCACGUGAAGUCGUCGAAACGGGAUCGCGCUUGCAACCAGACUCGGCCUCGGGGUCAGCCAGCAUUCGUGCUGGUGUACUUCCCCGGGGCCGGGCCAGCGUCGGUCUGGGCCGCCGGUCACAGGCCCUUGAUUGUUCGUCCUCGGACUUCUUAUCCCUCGGGUCCAUG